rnacentral:tRNA from 1 species
AGCCGGAGGGCCGAGUAGAGAUCCUGUGCAGACUGCGCACGGAGAAGCCCUGGCAAGAUGACGAAGGACCCGGGUUCAAUUCCCGGCGGCUCCACCGAAAAACCCCAGCUAGAUAGCAUUCUAGCUGGGGUUUCUUCUCGUUUAUGUCACGUGGUGAAGUAGGCCCGCUUUAGUUCAGCUCUUCUCGGCACUGUUCCUUGGUCUUGCCGGAGUCGAGGCAGUUUGCCCAGUCAAUUUGCCCCUGUACCCAUGGGCUAGGCUUGCGCGGCUGUUGCUGUUCUGGCGUGGGCGGAACGCCUGCGUUUGCUUCGUCUUCGAGGGACUGCUCACCACCCAUGGUGUCGAAACACCAUUGGGAAUAGGAGACGGUGCCGUCAGACCAGCGUGCUGACCCUGGGGUGCCCUCGAGGCAUUCCACAACGACGGGUUCUGCGGGGGCCUGCUCGACCGCGGGAGCCUCAGCUACUGGAUUAUCAGCUUGU